rnacentral:lncRNA from 1 species
UUUGUCUUGUUAAAAUGGUUUUAAAGUGACUUUUGGAACCCCUAAGUACCCUAGGAUGUUAGCCCUCUUUUGAGUAGUGAAAAUUUGAGUUUUGGUGAGUGAAAACAUUCAUGGAGCUAUUAUGAGUUUUCAUGAGUGUUCUUCAAUGUUCUUGAAGUUCUUGCCAAGAACAAAAAGUUUUGAAGUUUCGAUUCAAAAAUUUUAUGUUUUUCAUAAAGUUAUGGUUUAAUUUUGAUGGGUGAUGGUUAUUGGUGAAGCAUUAUUAUUGGCUUUAAUGUUUGACAAAGUUUUAAUGUUUGACAUAAAUUUUUCUUACAACCUAUCUAUAUCACCUUUAUAUCUCACCUAAUAAAAUCAACUUGCAAAAACUUUUUAGAUUUUUUUUCACUUGUUCACUCAAAAACCGGCCACCCCCUAGUGGGGGUACUUUUGGGGCAUUUUGUGCAAUUACAUAAAGUUUUGAUACUUUUGUGUUUUUGUAUUUUGGCACAAAAGUUUACGUUUUUACGUUUAGGCCCAAAAACUCUAAAGGACAAAUUGUUUUGCUCCUUUAAUGAUGUUUUUACAUUAUUAAAAUUUUGGGUUCUAGUUGAAAUUACAUAAAGUUGUGGACUUUUGUGUUUUUUCAAAGUGACCCCAAAAGUUUAUGUUUUUGCAUUGUGGCCCAAUUGUUGUGGUCAUUGUUUUAUUUUGGCCCAAAUAAGAUGAGAACAAAAUGGUUUUGUCUCUUUAAAUAAGAAUUGGAUUUUCAUUUUAUUUAGUUCCAUUUAAAUCAAUUCUAUGGAUCCGAAAACCAAUUGUUUAAGUUGCUUUCUUAGUUAAUGUGAUUGAUUAAGAAAAGGGUGAUUAUGAACCAAAGGUCUCGAUAAUUGAGCUAUGUGAUUAGCCGCUUUACAUUAUGAAUGUUUGGGUUUGGUAGUGUAGAUUUGAAUGUAAUUUGAUUAAUUUAAUUUGUUGUAAAGGGCAUAAGUCCUCCAAUGUGUUGUAAAAGGGCAUAAGCCCUUCUCUUUAUUUCAAGUAUUCAUUUUUUGUUUAAUUGUAUGCAAAUUGGAAUAGUUGGGUCCAACGCCCAAUAGGAAAUAACGGUUUAAUUGGAUUAAACGCGUAACUAAAAUCAACAACUAUCUACCUUAAACCCAAGGUCCAACACAAGGCUCGUGUUGGAUCAAAUCAAACGGUUCAUAAUCAUCCUAAAACCUAAUAUGAUUAUAUAGUCCAUAUGAGGAUGCAAAGCGUUCGUUAGUAGUUCCAUAUAGUCUCGCUUGUUUCAACGAAACAGUGGGAGUAUUAUAUGCUACUAAUACAUAUUAACUUGGACCAAUAGUUGUGAUAGGCCCAAGUUCUUUUAAUAAGAUUAAAAUGAUUUUGAUGUAGCCCAAAACUACUCCCUCAACAAACGAAAAUUAAGUUGAUAAGCGAGAGAUGUUUUGAACAUCUCUUCGUAGGCCUUCCACCGUGGUGGGCUCCAAUCGUUUGUGACUCAUGCACCCGCUUCACCCUAUCAUGGGGGAGUUCAAAGUAUGUGCUUACAUCCAGGAGGAGUCCAUAAACAUAUGAUGAGGUGAGUGUAGGCAACGAGGAUGGCCGACAUCGUAUCAUCGUGAGGCUAUUCUUGAACCCUUUCACAAACUAAGCAUGGUGGGAAUAACUUAACUAAGUGCAAUGGAGCUGACAUCGUAUCAUCGUGAGGCAACAUUCUCUAGAGGCCAAACGGAUGGGUAAUUACAAAAGUUGUAAAUGAAUAAAGCGUUAUUCUCUCAUCAUUAUUUUUGCUAACCAACAUUGUAUCAUUGUGAGGUGGGCUUGGUAAUGGUGAGUCUCCCAUACCCCGCUUAGAGUUCAAUAUAACUCUCGAAUUCCAUUGAGGGAUGUGGAAUUUGCCAAAAAUAGUGGGUGGUACUAUUUGAUUUAAGACCCAAUCAAGUAGUUUUGAAACAAACAAUCUAAUACGAUUUCUGUUAUGUUAUGUAGUUAACGACAUGCCUAAAAUAAUACCCACCAUUAUACUUGACAAAAGGGGCCUUAAGGGCCAACGUUUCCUUGCUUGGUAUCGCCACAUUGAGAAUGUCUUAAAGGUGAAAGACGUAUUGUAUGUGCUUAAGCAAUCCCCUCCUCAUGUACCUCCUACGAAACUGGCUUCAAAUGAGGAGUGUCAAAAUUAUGUUAGACACUAUGAGGAUGACU